AAUCAUAGCUCUGAUCCUGUGGCUCCCUUCCGGUAUGUGCUUAGCAUAUGAUGUGUGUCUCAGCACUGCUGCUUCUGCACUGACAGGAAUCCACACUGCCUGCAGCAGAUUUGGAGGUUUGGUGGGUUUGGUGAAUUUGAUUCUUAAACUAUUUGCCAUUAGACAUGGUCAGAAUAGAAAAAAAAAAUAGCUACUAGUGUUUUAAAUUGCUUAGUACAAGGAAGUGACCAUAUUCCUUGGAGUAGUUCUUAUGACUUGAUGGUCCUAGGCCUGGUCUUAAGCAGGUUUUUCUAGGCUAUGUCUAAGGGGCCCAGUGCUGUCUAUUCUGUAGCUCAUUGGGCUUAGUAGGGUGGGCUCUGUGCCCUCAUAAGUCAGUCAUGGGUAUAAAUUAGAUAGACAUGAACUUGCCAAGAACCCCAACCUGGCCGGGCAGUGGUGGCACAUGCCUUUAAUCCCAGGACUUGGGAGGCAGAGGUAGGCGAAUUACUGAGUUCAAGACCAGCCUGGUCUACAGAGUGAGUUCCAGGACAGCCAGGGUUACAGAGAAACCCUGUCUUGAAAAAAAAAAAAACAAAACAAAACAAAACAAAACACAGACCUACAGUGCGAGCCAAAGUCUGAGCCUCACCCUUCACUGUCCUGCUUUCAUUGCCUAAGAAUAGCAGUUAGGGGGUGUAGGCCAAGGCUCAGGCACUGCUAAGUCACUGUGGGCUAGCUUGCCAGCUCAUGCCAGUGUCUUGGGGACCACUGGUGGUAGGUACAUUUCCCUUUGGUAUUUCAAAAAGCCGGGGCCUGGGCCAGGGACAGGGCAUCUGUGGACCAGGUCAGAAAUCUGUCAAUGAGCCAAGAACCAGACAAACUAAACUUCUUUUCUGAUGGGGCUGCUUCUAGUGAAGGGACUCCAGGAGCAAGACAUUUCUUUUAACCCGGUCCCUGGACUUGACUGUUGUCGCUGCUCUUGGGGGUAUUUUAGCAGUCUGACCCUGGGAAAGCCUUAACUCUCUGCAUUCCCAGAGAACUUCUGGCCACCAUUUCCAGUCCUGGUUCUGUGGAUCAAGCCAGCUUGCUGAGCCAUGCAUCCUUAAUAGGCAAGGGCACUCCAGAGCCACUGAUGAGGUGACAUCUAGUGAUCAGGUGAUAACAAAAGAGUUCAGUACAGGUACCAUGACUACCACCUCCUGUUCUUAGAUAGGAGCAUGCAGUCCACUGUCCCAGACGAGUUGGCAGAAAGUUAUCCAACUUUUUAUGUCUUCCUGUUGAAAUCAGCUGAUGGAAGAUGCUCUGCUUCUCAGACACUAGGACGAGGGUGGAGUUGUGUGAUUAGUAUCCUCGGCCUUCCUAGAGAGCAUCCACUCUUGUGCAUCAGUGUGACUUCCAGAACCCCCGCCUCCCUUAGAGGCUAUGGUACCGUUUCUGGACUUUCUGGAAAGAAACCUCCCUUCCAUUCUUUUUUCCCUACCCCAAAACAAAACAAGCUUUUUCCACUUGCCCCCAGUUCAGUAUCUCAGAAGUCAACUGGCCCAGUCUGGUAUCCUGCAGCCUAACACAGGGCCAGAGAACCAAAAGAAGGUGUGGCUUUUUGAAUCCCAUGCUUCUUGGAAGUUUGUGUUUCUUCUUGUGAGUGUGAAAAUUCAACACAGCUCCGAACACCCCCUUGAGUUUUUUGCUCUUUGGGCACACUUAGUAGUUCUGAAGAGUGUGACCUUCAGGGCCCAGGUCUCCUGACCCAUCUCUGCCCCACUUGGCUUCAGUUCCCAAGGGGCUGUACCUGACCUCUCGCCUCCCCUUCCCUCCAGGUAGCUUUGGUUUGCCAUCUGUUUAGCUCCACUUCUCCCUGGCCUCUCCACUACGGAGGCCUGGAUCACCUGUUAUAGUAACCAAGUCUAAAGCCAAAUUUCCCUUCUUGCUACCCAGACCUCAAACAACAGUGAGUUGUAAAGCAACCAAGAUUAAACCUCAGGGUGACACACUCCCCUGAGCAGACAGUGAGACUGCUGUGGCGGCUUAGAGGCUGCUUGUCACCCAGAACACAAAGAUACGGUUGUCUGUGCAGACAGGUGGUGACAAGGGGUUUUCUCUGACAUCUUCACCUGGGCACUGAGCACCAGGCACUGGAGAGCUUCCAAGGUGAGGAGGUGCGCAGACAGACCGUGUCUCUAUGUCACGUUUCACCUUCUCCCAGCUCACACUGACAUGAGAACCUCAGAGCGUGGGGUCCUUACAGGAACAGGUCCCAGGUCACUUGGCAGCACGGUCGUGGCCGAGCGCUUCCUGAUGGCUACUCCCAGCAAGCAGGUCAGCGGCAAUGGAAAGGCAGAGCGCACAGCAUGCUGUGCAGGGUCUUGGGCCUCUAACCUGUCUUUGCUUUUCGUUUUUGUUUUUUGAAAGAAAAGUACAAUUAACAAACCUCUUUUGUAAAUGGAUUUCCUUUCUAUGUAUAAAUCCCCUGCAGUUCCUUGUUUUUACUGUUCAUGCUGUGUAAUUUUGAGAUGUUACUGAGAUUCUGAACAUAAUGUGCAUUUUUUUCUGUACAGAUGAAAUGGGAGAAUUUAAUAAAGAGUUUGCAGGUUUGU
rnacentral:lncRNA from 1 species